AUUGAACGCUGGCGGCAGGCCUAACACAUGCAAGUCGAACGAGUGGCGGACGGGUGAGUAAUGUCUGGGAACUUGCCUGAUGGAGGGGGAUAACUACUGGAAACGGUAGCUAAUCCCGCAUACCAUCAGAUGUGCCCAGAUGGGAUUAGCUAGUGGGUGGGGUAAAGGCUCACGAAGGCGACGAUCCCGAGCUGGUCUGAGAGGAUGACCGGCCACCUGGGAACUUGGACACUGUCCAGACUCCUGCGGGAGGCAGCAGUGGGGAAUAUGGGACAACGGGCGCAAGCCUGAGGCAGCGAGGCCGAGUGUAUGAAGAAGGCCUUCGGUUUGUAAAGUACUUUCAGCGGGGAUGCGUUACCCGCAGAAGAAGCACCGGCUAACUCCGUGCCAGCAGCCGCGGUAAUUC
rnacentral:rRNA from 1 species